GGGCCCGUGGCCUAGUAGGAUAGGGCGUCGGCCUUCGGAGCCGAAGGUCGCGGGUUCAAAUCCCGCCGGGCCCGCCA
rnacentral:tRNA from 1 species